UCUUCCUCUUCCACCUUCCGCCUCUUUCUCUCUUGCGAUAAGCCAUUCUGAAACCGAAAAAAUCUGUCUCUCAUCAAAUCAACAUCAUAAUCACCUUUCUUCUUCAUCUUCAUCAUCUACAGCUCUUCUCUCUGUCAAACAUGGUGUAGAGAUUGACCUUUUAGCGUCCAAACCCUAAUCUCGAGUUUUAGACGGGUUGCUUAUGUAUUGGGCCAAUUGCAAAAUAAAACUGCUUUGGCUACUCUAAGCAAAGUACUGAGAGAUGCGAACGGGCACCCAAUGGUUAGACAUGAGGCUGCAGAAGCGCUUGGUUCUAUUGCAGGUAUCUUUUGGUGGGUCCGCCUUUAAACCAACGACGACGGUGAAUCUCUUGGUGGGUUCGCCUUGAAACCGACGACGACGGUGAAUCUCUCGGUUAAAUCCCGUUAGACGGAUUUCUUCGGGAAGCAGAGGUUCGAUGACUAUUCUUCUUCUUUGCCUUCAUACUCCUCGCAAAACGCUGAAGGAUCCCCUACUAGAUUUUUUGUUGUUCAUUCGAUAUACAAAGGAAAGCUGCGUUAACAGUAGAUCUAAGAGCACCAGAGUUUGUGGCUUUAGACUAAGUCUCUCUCCCAAAAAUCAAAGAGCCUCUAAUUGUACAACUGCUCCAGUUUGCUCCUUCAGCUGGUAUAUGACAAUACGAUUGGACUAAGAAACAGGUAUCUAAGUGAUGGUCGUGCCACCUCGAACCAUUGGUUGCACUUAAGCAAAGUUGCUAAAAACAUUAAUUUUGAAUAAAAGUGAAUAAAAGUGAAGUUAACAAACUUCCUAAAGAAACUUUCUAUUUUUAUGGUCCA